ACUCUAGUUUUAGUUUCUCAGAUCUGUUGAAUCGGUUACCCUUUUCCAGCUUCUGAAAUUUUGGCGUUUGUCAUCUACUAUUUCCUUCCUGUACUCUUUCCACUUGUUUACCUCUGACACUCAAAAAUGAAAUGGGAAGCUUGAGAGCAGCCGAUUUAUCCAGCCAAGGUAUUGGAACAGAGACAAGUUUAAUAAAUCAUUGUUUAGAUAGGCCACGCAUUACAUUUUGGAAAGUCCAAAAUGUUGAAAAACAACACUCUCAAUGAGGAGAUGGCCUAGCAGUAAAGCUGUCUAAUCCAGCUUGUAUUCUGCCUCUGGUUUUGCACCCGAACAGUGUGGGAAGUGACAUCAGUUGAAAAGUUAUCAGCUCGUCAAUAAAAUCUUGGCCAGACACUUCAA